rnacentral:pre_miRNA from 12 species
UAAUUAAACUUUUAGGCCUUUUCUUCCCGGUUCUUCCCACAGUCAGGAAUAGCUGGGUUGAGAGGAAAAAUAAAAUUAAAAA